AUUUAAAUAGUUUAAAAAAAAUUUUGAUUUGUGGUAUCAAAGAUAUAUAAUUAUAUUUUAAAUC
rnacentral:tRNA from 1 species